GACGAACGCUGGCGGCGUGCCUAAUACAUGCAAGUUGAGCGCUGAAGGUUGGUACUUGUACCGACUGGAUGAGCAGCGAACGGGUGAGUAACGCGUGGGGAAUCUGCCUUUGAGCGGGGGACAACAUUUGGAAACGAAUGCUAAUACCGCAUAAAAACUUUAAACACAAGUUUUAAGUUUGAAAGAUGCAAUUGCAUCACUCAAGGAUGAUCCCGCGUUGUAUUAGCUAGUUGGUGAGGUAAAGGCUCACCAAGGCGAUGAUACAUAGCCGACCUGAGAGGGUGAUCGGCCACAUUGGGACUGAGACACGGCCCAAACUCCUACGGGAGGCAGCAGUAGGGAAUCUUCGGCAAUGGACGAAAGUCUGACCGAGCAACGCCGCGUGAGUGAAGAAGGUUUUCGGAUCGUAAAACUCUGUUGGUAGGGAAGAACGUUGGUGAGAGUGGAAAGCUCAUCAAGUGACGGUAACUACCCAGAAAGGGACGGCUAACUACGUG
rnacentral:rRNA from 1 species